UCCACCUCAAAUUGUAUCUCUUGUAGACAAGUUGCAAUUGAAAAUGUUAUCUUUUCCAUUAUUGGAAGCCUUGGCCACUUCAAGCAAGUUGAAGGCAGAACACUCCAAGCAUGAUGGAAUCCCUUCUCUUGUCCGGCAGCAUUCGUGGAUGCUGGCGAGAUGACCAUCAAGGCUGAAGUAUGGCAACACUGUGCUGUUUGAGAGUAAACGGAGAAACAAGUUGCAAUUGAAAAUGUUAUCUUUUCCAUUAUUGGAAGCCUUGGCCACUUCAAGCAAGUUGAAGGCAGAACACUCCAAGCAUGAUGGAAUCCUUUCUCUUGUCCGGCAGCAUUCGUGGAUGCUGGCGAGAUGACCAUCAAGGCUGAAGUAUGGCAACACUGUGCUGUUUGAGAGUAAACGGAGAAACAAGUUGCAAUUGAAAAUGUUAUCUUUUCCAUUAUUGGAAGCCUUGGCCACUUCAAGCAAGUUGAAGGCAGAACACUCCAAGCAUGAUGGAAUCCUUUCUCUUGUCCGGCAGCAUUCGUGGAUGCUGGCGAGAUGACCAUCAAGGCUGAAGUAUGGCAACACUGUGCUGUUUGAGAGUAAACGGAGAAACAAGUUGCAAUUGAAAAUGUUAUCUUUUCCAUUAUUGGAAGCCUUGGCCACUUCAAGCAAGUUGAAGGCAGAACACUCCAAGCAUGAUGGAAUCCUUUCUCUUGUCCGGCAGCAUUCGUGGAUGCUGGCGAGAUGACCAUCAAGGCUGAAGUAUGGCAACACUGUGCUGUUUGAGAGUAAACGGAGAAACAAGUUGCAAUUGAAAAUGUUAUCUUUUCCAUUAUUGGAAGCCUUGGCCACUUCAAGCAAGUUGAAGGCAGAACACUCCAAGCAUGAUGGAAUCCUUUCUCUUGUCCGGCAGCAUUCGUGGAUGCUGGCGAGAUGACCAUCAAGGCUGAAGUAUGGCAACACUGUGCUGUUUGAGAGUAAACGGAGAAACAAGUUGCAAUUGAAAAUGUUAUCUUUUCCAUUAUUGGAAGCCUUGGCCACUUCAAGCAAGUUGAAGGCAGAACACUCCAAGCAUGAUGGAAUCCCUUCUCUUGUCCGGCAGCAUUCGUGGAUGCUGGCGAGAUGACCAUCAAGGCUGAAGUAUGGCAACACUGUGCUGUUUGAGAGUAAACGGAGAAG